GGAGAGUACCAAGCUUGUCCCCUGACCGUCCAUCCUCUCUAACUACCUGCCCCAGUAACCAGCAGCUAGGGAGCAGACGUGCCUCCUCAGGGGAAUGGGGGGAUGUGUUCCAGCCAAGAGAGGCAGAGGAGAGAUGGGUCUCUGUCACCACCGUUCUGAGAUUCCCCCAUGAACUGAUGGAUGUAGGAGGCGGCUGUCACCGGCCAAGGCGUCAUGGAAACGGACAAGCGCCAUGCAGCUUUGGAUGGACAGACACCCUACGCUGAUGCCAGUUCACAAGAGACACAGAAAAGAGCAGAGUUGGAUGUCCACGUGGCAUGGUGGGUGCUUCUUUGGAGAGAAAGAUCUGGAAGGACUGCACAGGAUGCUGGCCCCCUCUGAGAAGCAGCAUUUUGUGUGUGUGCAGAGCAACCGAGUCACCACCUGGUCACCUCCGUGA
rnacentral:lncRNA from 1 species